ACUCAAAGGAAUAGACGGGGCUCCGCACAAGCAGAGGAGGAUGUGGUUUAAUAUGACGCUACGCGUAGAACCUUACCGAGGCUUGACAUCCCUGGGACCCGCUGGAAACAGUGGGGUGCCUUCGGGAGCCAGGUGACAGGUGCUGCAUGGCCGUCGUCAGCUCGUGUCGUGAGAUGUUGGGUUAAGUCCCGCAACGAGCGCAACCCCUAUCGUAUGUUGUAUUUCUCAUGCGAGACCGCCCGGGCCAACCGGGAGGAAGGUGGGGAUGAUGUCAGGUCGGCAUGGCCCUUACGCCUCGGGCCACACACGUCCUACAAUGGUCAGUACAACGCGUUGCCAAGCCGCGAGGCGGAGCUAAUCGCAUCAAAACUGAUCUCAGUUCGGAUUGGAGGCUGCAACUCGCCUCCAUGAAGUCGGAUUUGCUAGUAAACGUGGGUCAGCACACCACGUUGAAUACGUUCCCGGAGCUUGUACACACCGCCCGU
rnacentral:rRNA from 1 species